rnacentral:rRNA from 1 species
ACGGGAGGCAGCAGUGGGGAAUAUUGCACAAUGGGGGAAACCCUGAUGCAGCGACGCCGCGUGAGUGAAGAAGUAUUUCGGUAUGUAAAGCUCUAUCAGCAGGGAAGAAAAAAGACGGUACCUGACUAAGAAGCCCCGGCUAACUACGUGCCAGCAGCCGCGGUAAUACGUAGGGGGCAAGCGUUAUCCGGAAUUACUGGGUGUAAAGGGUGCGUAGGUGGCAUGGUAAGUCAGAAGUGAAAGCCCGGGGCUUAACCCCGGGACUGCUUUUGAAACUGUCAUGCUGGAGUGCAGGAGAGGUAAGCGGAAUUCCUAGUGUAGCGGUGAAAUGCGUAGAUAUUAGGAGGAACACCAGUGGCGAAGGCGGCUUACUGGACUGUCACUGACACUGAUGCACGAAAGCGUGGGGAGCAAACAGGAUUAGAUACCCUGGUAGUCCACGCCGUAAAC